UAGGGAAUCUUCGGCAAUGGACGGAANNNUGGACCGAGCAACCCNNCGUGAGUGAAGAAGGUUUUCGGAUCGUAAAGCUCUGUUGUAAGAGAAGAACGAGUGUGAGAGUGGAAAGUUCACACUGUGACGGUAUCUUACCAGAAAGGGACGGCUAACUACGUGCCAGCAGCCGCGGUAAUACGUAGGUCCCGAGCGUUGUCCGGAUUUAUUGGGCGUAAAGCGAGCGCAGGCGGUUAGAUAAGUCUGAAGUUAAAGGCUGUGGCUUAACCAUAGUAGGCUUUGGAAACUGUUUAACUUGAGUGCAAGAGGGGAGAGUGGAAUUCCAUGUGUAGCGGUGAAAUGCGUAGAUAUAUGGAGGAACACCGGUGGCGAAAGCGGCUCUCUGGCUUGUAACUGACGCUGAGGCUCGAAAGCGUGGGGAGCAAACAGGAUUAGAUACCCUGGUAGUCCACGCUGUAAACGAUGAGUGCUAGGUGUUAGACCCUUUCCGGGGUUUAGUGCCGUAGCUAACGCAUUAAGCACUCCGCCUGGGGAGUACGACCGCAAGUUG
rnacentral:rRNA from 1 species